GGGAAGGGAGGAGCUCGGUGAGAUAUGAUGCUCUCCUUACGUGGGCACUUUCUUACCUUACCUUACCUUAACUGUACCUCUGACUGACUCACUGAUUCACUGCCUGGCUUACACAUAUUUAGCUCCAAUUUUUCUUUUUUCUAUUUGGUUCUCAGUUAAUUUUAGUUCAUUUUACCCCUGACUGACUAACUGAUUCAUUGCCUGACUUCCUACACAUGGUUACAGUAUCUGGUUCCAAUCUUUCUUUUUUUCUGUUUUGGUUCUCAGUUCAUUUCAGUUAAUUUUACCACUAACUGACUGACUGAUUCAUUGCCUGACUUCCUACACAUGGCUGCAAUAUCAAGUUCUAAUCUUUCUUGUUUCUAUUUUGGUUAUCAGUAAAUUUCCCUACACUUAACUAACCUAUUAAUUAUAUAUACAAACACCCUCAAGCAAUAUAUACACUUCUUCAAACGUUCCAUAACCUACAUAUAUACAUACAUACAUACAUUCCUAUCUUCAGUGCUGCCAUAAUUCACCUCACAAUAAAUAAAUAAAUAAAUAGCUUAGUAACAUCAAGACAAGUGCAAGACAGUAACAAAAAACAAAAAAACAGUUUGACUUGGAGGCGGCGUCAGGCCGGUCGGCAAGUCAGCAUGCAAGGCUAAGGUUACCAGAUUGUCGUACUUGCCGUGUUUUUGACGAUUUCUGACCAAAAACCAUCGCACCCACAUAGAUAACGAUAUGUGUUUAAAAUUAUCGUUAAAAUCAGUAAUUAUUGAUGGUCUUUUUUGCAAUAUUUAUGGGGGAGAAUCCGGAAAAAAAAAUGUUGUGCGAUUUCUGACCAAAAAACAUCGGACCAGAAAGAUUAUGACAUGCAUUUAUAAUCACUGUUAAAAUCGGAAAUUACUAAUGCUCUCUUUUGCAAUAUUUACGGGGCGGAAACUUGAAAAUACAAUGUUGUGGGUACGAUAAUCUGUUUUGGCGAUUUCUGACCAAAAACUCGCAUCCAGAAAGAUAGCGAUAUGCAUUUAUAAUCACUGUUAAAAUCGGAAAUUACUAAUGCUCUCUUUUGCAAUAUUUAUGGGCCAGAAACCAGGCUACCAGUGAAGGCAAAAUCCCUGACAAUCACAGCGGACAGGUUAACCUUCCCUUCUGUGAACCCGCACCCAAAUCUGCCAUCCCAAACCACCUUUCCCAUGGCACCCAGGUCUCCGUGUCCCCCUUACCUGUGGUCCCCAGGUCUCAAAAUCAAGCUUAUCUAUGGUCCCUGGGUCUCAAAAUUAAGGUUAUCUAUGGUCCCUGGAUCUCAAAAUUAAGGUUAUCUGUGGUCCCCAGGUCUCAAAAUCAAGCUUAUCUAUGGUCCCUGGGUCUCAAAAUUAAGGUUAUCUAUGGUCCCUGGAUCUCAAAAUUAAGGUUAUCUGUGGUCCCCGGGUCUCAAAAUCAAGCUUAUCUAUGGUCCCUGGGUCUCAAAAUCAAGCUUAUCUAUGGUCCCUGGGUCUCAAAAUUAAGGUUAUCUAUGGUCCCCGGGUCUCAAAAUCAAAUACAAUGUUGUGCGUACGAUAAUCUGUAACGUUGGGCAAGACUAGGCUGAUGUGUACGAUAAUCUGGAAACGUUGGGCAAGACUAGGCUGGUGCGUACGAUAAUCUGGAAACGUUGGGCAAGACUAGGCUGGUGCGUACGAUAAUCUGGAAACGUUGGGCAAGACUAGGCUGGUGCGUACGAUAAUCUGGAAACGUUGGGCAAGACUAGGCUGGUGCAUACGAUAAUCUGUAACGUUGAGCAAGACUAGGCUGGUGCGUACGAUAAUCUGGUAACGUUGGGCAAGACUAGGCUGGUGUGUACGAUAAUCUGUAACGUUGAGCAAGACUAGGCUGGUGCGUACGAUAAUCUGGUAACGUUGGGCAAGACUAGGCUGGUGUGUACGAUAAUCUGGAAACGUUGGGAAAGACUAGGCUGGUGCGUACGAUAAUCUGGAAACGUUGGGAAAGACUAGGCUGGUGUGUACGAUAAUCUGGUAACGUUGGGAAAGACUAGGCUGGUGUGUACGAUAAUCUGGUAACGUUGAGCAAGACUAGGCUGGUGUGUACGAUAAUCUGGAAACGUUGGGAAAGACUAGGCUGGUGUGUACGAUAAUCUGGAAACGUUGAGCAAGACUAGGCUGGUGUGUACGAUAAUCUGGUAACGUUGAGCAAGACUAGGCUGGUGUGUACGAUAAUCUGGAAACGUUGGGAAAGACUAGGCUGGUGUGUACGAUAAUCUGGAAACGUUGGGAAAGACUAGGCUGGUGCGUACGAUAAUCUGGAAACGUUGGGAAAGACUAGGCUGGUGUGUACGAUAAUCUGGUAACGUUGGGAAAGACUAGGCUGGUGUGUACGAUAAUCUGGUAACGUUGGGAAAGACUAGGCUGGUGUGUACGAUAAUCUGGAAACGUUGGGAAAGACUAGGCUGGUGUGUACGAUAAUCUGGUAACGUUGAGCAAGACUAGGCUGGUGUGUACGAUAAUCUGGUAACGUUGGGCAAGACUAGGCUGGUGCGUACGAUAAUCUGUAACGUUGAGCAAGACUAGGCUGGUGUGUACGAUAAUCUGUAAUGUUGAGCAAGACUAGGCUGGUGUGUACGAUAAUCUGUAACGUUGAGCAAGACUAGGCUGGUGCGUACGAUAAUCUGUAACGUUGAGCAAGACUAGGCUGGUGUGUACGAUAAUCUGUAACGUUGAGCAAGACUAGGCUGGUGUGUACGAUAAUCUGGUAACAUUGGGCAAGACUAGGCUGCAGCAAGAUCAAAAACUGGCAAGUGUUGUCGAUAACGUACAUGUAAUACCUUGGGGAUCUUGGCGGGCGGCUCCCAGUCCAGCAGCUCACAGUUCUUCU